AAACCAGCUCCAGCAGCGCAGUGCAGGAUCUAGCUGUACCCUCUCUGCCUGCUUGCAGGUCCUUCUCCUGGAAGUGCAGCAAAGGGAGCAUCAAGGUGAGAAGCAACAAUGUGCAAGCACUGCAUUUCCUGCCCUGCCCAGCCCAGCAUCUCCCUCCUGCCCCAGGGCUUGCACAGCUCACAUGGGGACUCACAGAGAAUUGUGUGUGCCUCACACUGCUGCGAGUGGACAGCCCCUCCUCUGCUGGGCAAAGGAGUAAUCCUGGGUAGCACGUCUGCUUGCUGCUACCCCUUCAUCCUAAAUCAUUUGAAAAAGAUGAUGUCAGUAAGAUGAAAACUCAGAUUUGAGAAUUAUGUUUCCAUGCCAAACCCGCAGUCCCCGGCAGGGUCCUGAGAAGCACCCCUGAGCUGUACUAAUUCUUCAUGAAUUACUCGCUCUUCCGGGCCAGAGACAACCCCCUGCACGUUCUGGUUCACAUGUGAAUUUCUGGGUAUGACUGUGCUGUGAUGAGUGUUCUGUCUGAACAGAUACCUGACUGAUUCCUUAACAGAUUCUGCAGCACUGGGUUUUUCAGAGGCUGAGGGGAGAUGCCUUCCAAGUUAGACAGUGUUUAACUCAAUCUGUGAAGUCAGCCAUGGGGAAUCCAGGCUGCACUGGAAACCCAGCUCUUUGGCAUUAAAUCACAGAGAUAUUUUAAUGUGAAACUGGGAAUGUUGUGCAACUCUGCAGAGAGCAGAGUCCAGAACAAACUCCAGGUUUAAAUUUUCUCACUGUUUUUCUGCAAUUUAGUGAUUUGUUUGUUCUAUAUCCAUGACUACAUGGCUGCAGACAUUAUCAUCAAAUGUGGCUUGUAUGAAAUACAUGGCAAUAAUUCGAGGCUCCUCAGCCUCCUGGGCUGUGGAUGCCAAUCCUCUGGCUAGGGUGUCCUGCUCUCUAGAGCGGCCCCUCCAGCGUGCCUCACUCUGGGCUGGAGGGAAUCCCUUCAGCAGGGACAGGGAUUUGACUGAGCUGCCAAACAGUGAAGCCAGAGAAUCAAUGCUUGUAAUUUUGGAAUUCUGAAAUGUGAUGAUCUUCAAACUCAUUUCACAGUGGGAGAAGACAACCCUUUGUUGGAAUGAAUCCAACUUUAGCACUGACGUGGGUCACUCACCCAAAUUCCUGCCGGUAAGAUUUUGGGGUGGAGGGUAUGGGACUCCCUCCACAGCUCUGAACCCAUCCCCUCUGUGCAGUCAUUGCUGCUGUGGUGGGCCUUGGCAUCCAGCUCUGCUUCUGAUGUGUCAGGUGAGCUGUGUGUGAGGGCUGUGAUACACAGCCUCAGGGGACCAGCAGCGCGUGGUGUGUGGCUGCUGCAUGGGGAUGACAGGAUUUAAUCUGUUCAAUAGUUGUGCCUGAUUUUGUGGGGUAAAUCAGUAGGUGGAAGUGAGCAGUAGGGAGGUGCCAGUUGUCCCAAAUUCUUGGUUUUCCUUACCCGGCGAUUUCCCAGUGUUUCAUGUCUUAGGGGAGCGUGGAGGGGUCAGUCACUUUCUCUGCUGACCCGGCUCUUCUUUUUUGACCUGGAUGAGCUGUGAACUGGAGCUGUUUUGGAUAAGAAGUGACAGCUGAGGGAAGAGGGAGCAACAACUCAUCCUGUGUACCAACCUGAACCACACUCACACAGCAACCCGUUUGUGGAUUAGUGGGAUUCAGUUUAGUGUGAAAUAUGUCAAAACAAAGAUCUUGCGGUGUUGGUAAUGAGUUUUUGUCGCAGUUUUGAAGCAUUUGCAGGAGUGUUUCAUGCUGCUCCCCCAUGGUCUUGCUCAAGUUGAUUAUGAAACUGUGACCUUGUGGGUGGUUUGCUCAGGAAAUGGGGCUCCCUCUGCUCUGGCCCAGCUCCUGUGCAUGCAGCAGCUUCCCCGUGAGGCUGCAGCAGGCUCUGCUGCUGGUGUCAGCUCAAUUUCCUCCUCCUAAGAGCACGCCAAGGCCUAGAUCUCAAACACUGGCAAUGAAACAGCUCUUGGAGGAACCUAGAGCAGGAGUGCAAGAGGGCACGGGAGGGAGGCCAAGACUACAGAAACAAGAGGCAGUAACUGCUCGGAUGGUGCUUGGGCAGGACUGCAGCUUCCAGCACUGCUUCCCUCAGUCCAGCAGAAAGGAACGGGCUCUCGGUGCUGGACACCACCAUCCGCCUUUUUCUGUAAAUAUUUCUGGGCUCUCUGCACGUCUGCCUGGGGAGAAACUAGCCAUACUGCAGACAGAAAGAGAAGCAGAUCUGGGAGCUGCUGGAUCCAGCUGCAUUCCUGCAGGGCAGGGCUUUGGAGCAGGAGCCCCACAGCAGAGGGCCAUGUCCUUGCUGGAGAGAAGCUGUGAGAGCUGGCAGGUAUCUCAGCUCUGCAGAGCUGCACAGCAGUGCCACGGAGCCUCUGGAGUCCCUGCAGAGCCUCUGGAGUCCUGCUGCAGGAGAAAGGGGACGUGAAUUAUUGACCAGUGUAAAGCUGAAUUCUACUGGUACCACAAGGGCUUAAGAUGGCAGCAGUGGAAAAGGCUGGGAUCAAGGUGGGUGUGUAUUUUAGAACACCCUUUCUCUUCUCUGAAUAUUCAUGGCCUCAAGGAUACUACACAUGUAUUUUUGGAAGAUACCUUGCUACUUACAACUGAGCUGUUGGUGACCUGAAUAAAAUAAAAAUCAAAAGCAAACUUCUGGGAUGCUUUACUUGAAAAACAACAUGCAUUUCCACAUACAGAAAUCUUUGGCUGCAGUUA